UACGUAGGGGGCAAGCGUUGUCCGGAUUUAUUGGGCGUAAAGAGCGUGUAGGCGGCCAGGUAGGUCCGCUGUGAAAACUCGAGGCUCAACCUCGAGAUGUCGGCGGAAACCAUCUGGCUAGAGUCCGGAAGAGGAGUGUGGAAUUCCUGGUGUAGCGGUGAAAUGCGCAGAUAUCAGGAAGAACACCAAUGGCGAAGGCAGCUCUCUGGGACGGUACUGACGCUGAGACGCGAAAGCGUGGGGAGCGAACAGG
rnacentral:rRNA from 1 species